UCCAGAGCUAAACAGCAACCGGGUUGUCUCUGUUUGCGAACCCAGACGAUGUUCUGGUUUGGAACAUUGUUGUGCCAAACUCCAACACAGCGGUUUAUCGAGUUUCCUGGGCUGAAGAACCCAAGUGUAAAUCUUUCUCCGGCGGACACAAAAACGGCGCCGUCAUGGUGUCGGAGAAUGUGCCACUCAGAAGAAAAGAUGAGUAAUUUGAUGGGACUUGAUGAAGCUGCAGAGCCCAAUGCCCAUUAGGGAAGGUUUCUUAGGAAAAGGAAGAGAUGUUUCAUUACUCAACAUGAAAACAACUUCCGACAUGGUAGGCCGAUCUGUUACACAUUCUUGGAUGCAGAGUAGCGCAAUCUGGAUGCAUCUUGAGACUUCAUCACUAGGAUAUGACUGAAGCAGUGAUGGAUUGACUAUCCCUAGUGCUUGCCCCUCUCUCCACAAAUCCCAAAUCUGAUGCAAUUCAGAAAGCCGUUUUAGACCAAACAUUCAGAAGUACAGCAUUGGGAUAUGUAGCUACCUUAUAGACUGAGCCAAAACCACCUUCGCCAAGCUUGUUACUAAUGGAAAAGUUGUCUGUGGCAACAACUAUGCUGUUUAGGUCAAAAAAUGCCAGGUCUUGGUUCAUCUCCCCAUCAUGCCAGGUCAGUGGAAUUUUACUGUCAUCAUGCUUCAUUUGCCUGAAUUGCCUCAGAGAUCCUUUAAAACAUAGAUUGAAGUAACUUUCUAUCAGUAACCAUUUCUUGGCUGCCCUUUUACACACUAUGCAGUCUAUGCUUCAUAGAUUAUCAUAGGAGUUAUUAAUUACUAUAAUCUGAAAUAAAAUACAUAUCUUGAAGGAGUAGUUUUCUUACUUUUU